CGGAGAAUAGCUAAAUAAGAAUAGCCUUUCCCUUACACCGAAAAGUCAUCCGUGCAACUCGGAUUUCUCCGA
rnacentral:tRNA from 1 species